rnacentral:rRNA from 1 species
UGCAUGCUUUUACAGUAUGGAAAUUGGUGAUUUAUAAUAACUUAGCAAAUCGCAAAGUGAAAACAGGCGAUAAAUCAUUCAAGUUUCUGACCUAUCAGCUUUCGACGGUAUGGUAUUGGCUUACCGUGGCAGUGACGGUUAACGGGGGAUUAGGGUUCGAUUCCGGAGAGGGAGCCUGAGAAACGGCUACCACAUCUAAGGAAGGCAGCAGGCGCGCAAAUUACCCAAUUCUAACAGUUUAAGAGAGGUAGUAACAAGAAAUAACAAUACAAGGCAAUUAAAAUGCUUUGUAAUUGGAAUGAUAGAAAUUUAAACCCUUUUUAAAGUAUCAAUUGGAGGGCAAGUCUGGUGCCAGCAGCCGCGGUAAUUCCAGCUCCAAUAGCGUAUAUUAAAAUUGUUGCAGUUAAAAAGCUCGUAGUUGAAGUUCUGCUAAAAGUAACCGGUCUGCUUUUAAUAAAAGUGGUAUCUUGGUGUGUAUUUAGCAAUGAUGUCCUUUGAAGUGUUUUUUACUUUAUUGUAAUAAAGCAUAUUCAGGACUUUUACUUUGAGAAAAUUAGAGUGUUUCUAGCAGGCCAACGCUUUGAAUACUGCA